UUCAGAAACGAAGAGAAGAACCAUAUGUUAUGGUGGAUCUAUAGGAAUAUUUGACGAAUGGAAAUAUGACUUCUUUUCUCUGGUUCUUAUUGUGUUCCUAAAACUUAUUAGGAUGCAUGGUCCAGGGUGACUCCGUUGCAUCUGUUUUUUUUUUCUUUGUGUGAACUAACUUGAAUCCUUGCCCAGUUAUGACUCUGAUAUUUGGAAACCAUUGAGCCGUUGCUAGGACCAAAAUGGAUGAUUGGCGAGGAGGACCAGCUGAAAAGAAUUGCUACAUAAGUUGCUUUAUCAUGGGGCUAUCAUCUUCUCAUAAACUGCACUACUAUGGAGAAAGAAAGCUGAACUUUAUUUUCAUAUGGUGUAAGUCAACUAGCUGCAUGGACACAUAACUGGGAAGGUAUGAUCACAGGUGCAGCUGUCUCAACUAUGUAAUACAAUCUCAAGCUGAAACAUCCGUCUUUGGAUAUGCCAAUGCUCGAUUAUGACCAGUUCUCCUGGCACAUCAAGUAAAGCUUUUUAGAAGCCUGUUGAGACAUGGAAGAAAGAGACCAUAGUCAAAAGGGCUUUGGUCACCUGAAUAAUUGGCCUCGAUAGCCAUGUAGGGUGGAACUGUGUCCGCUGUGACCAUUAAAUUAUGGAGUAUUACUUGGUUUUGUGCCCUCUGAUGAUUAGAAUGUUGCAUAUGAUUUAUGCGCAGCAGUAGUGUGUUUCUAUACAUAAUGAGUAUUGCAUUUGAUCACAGGUAUCCUACCCAAUGGAAUUACUGCUCGGCUUAGAAUUGUUGCUCCUCGGAUUCUAGGCUGAUCUGGUAAAGCAUAGAGAGAAGGAUGCUAAUAUGCAAAAUCUUGUGCAAUAUGUAGUGCCCUGAAGUAUAUGUCAACCGCAAGAUAUCGUGCCCUGAAGUAUAUGUCAGUAUGAUUUUGGUACCACGGCGAUCGUUUGCAAGUCCAACUUAGUUAUAUGUUCAGGCUGCUCCUGAAUUUCCUUGAUGUAAGCAUCUUUUGUCUAUGUAAACAUGUAAAGCAUGUGUGGCGCUUAGUUCA